UACUCUAACAUGAUUUUUCGGCAGUUUUAAAACAACCACAAAGGAAAGUUCCGAUAACAUGGUGGCAGCACCACCGUCCUUCCGCCACCAAACUCGAAUGCCACCGCCGGAAGUUCCCAGCGGUGCGUCUCGCACCCAACUCCUGUUGCAGCAGUCACCGGUCGCCACCCUCGAAUCCGACGCUCACGUACCGCCACCGCCGUGCCCAUUCUUUGACCCCAUUCAGCUUCCAGCUUGAGUGGAUCUGUGUGAAAGCUCCCCUCACAAAAUCGAAUUGUAGCUAGAGAGAAGUUUGGAAUUUUAGUUUGUGUUUAUUAGUUAUCUGCGGUUCUUGCUUGGGGAGAUUUCUAAUGGAGAAGAAUAGUUUGACGGUGACAUCACCGGAUUCACUAAAAGGUGUUUAUUGAAAGCCCGAUUGAGAAUUUUGGGGUUCCUCAAUAUGGAGGAACGAUGUCUGGGCCAGUCUGGCUCUGUUUUCUACCUUAAUUCCAAUCAGAAGGGGUGCAGUAGCUUUGAAGAUGUCGAAGCUUCCUUGAAGAAGCAGCCUGGGGGCAUCCCAAUCUUCAUUCUUGCUGAUAGAUGGGGGAAAUUUGAUCAAUUUUCCCCUUUUAGACGUCUUUUUAUUCACCAAUUUUGUAUGAAUAGGGAGGUUGCUCUUGAUCGUGCUGUUCUGUAGUUUAAUUUAUGUGAUGAUUGCAUGUGUUUAACUUGAUUUUUUUGCUUACUUUGUGUUCAAUACUUUUGGUUGUUAGGAAUCUAUGAACUUAGAGAAAUUUUGGGAUAAGAUUUGUUAGGGUAAUUAUAAGAAUUCAAGCUAAUACGGAAUUAAAGCAAAAGUCAUCUCCUAAUCAUAGAUUAGUAAAAAUAAUUUAAUAUCUUAACCACUACCCUUAUAUUUCACCCACAACACCUUUUUUAGUUUUCUUAGUCUCCGUGCCCACCCUCAAAUGGGGCUUUAAUUCGUGGAAGGAUUUUAGUAAAAGAUCCGUUUCCAUUCUGGCUUUCGGCUCCUACCACUAUUUCAAAUUUUGUUCCAAUGGCCACCAACGGGGCAGCGGCGAUUUCCUCACUACACCCUCCGACACCCCCGUCAGGUGGGAAGUCGGCUUUUGGAAAACACAAUCAACAGCAGCAGGCUAUGGACACUUUGAACAAACGGAGAUUCGAGGCCUACAACCGGCUUCAGGCAGCCGCACUCCCGAUCCCCGAAAUCGUGGCGCUGUGCAGCCAGUCCGACGGCAAGAGCUCGCUGCUAUGAAGAGGAGUCCAGUGACCGUUGGGAAGUGGAUCGCUAUUUGAGUGCGAGCGGAUACCUUGGGGAGAACACUCCCCUUUUUUGUUGCUCUUCCAAAGGAUAGAAGUACACUUUCGAAUGAUGAGUUUCGUAGGAAAAUAUCUCAGGUAGAUACGGAAGUGAUACACCAUUUACAUGAUGCAGUCAAAGGUGGAUUUGAUGAAGACAAGUAUAGAUCCUACAUAGGUUUC